rnacentral:rRNA from 1 species
CCUACGGGCGGCAGCAGUGGGGAAUAUUGGACAAUGGGCGAAAGCCUGAUCCAUCCAUGCCGCGUGUGUGAAGAAGGCCUUCGGGUUGUAAAGCACUUUCAGUGGGGAAGAAAGCCUUGGGGCUAAUACCCUCGAGGAAGGACAUCACCCACAGAAGAAGCACCGGCUAACUCCGUGCCAGCAGCCGCGGUAAUACGGAGGGUGCGAGCGUUAAUCGGAAUUACUGGGCGUAAAGCGCGCGUAGGCGGUCUGAUAAGCCGGUUGUGAAAGCCCCGGGCUCAACCUGGGAACGGCAUCCGGAACUGUCAGGCUAGAGUGCAGGAGAGGAAGGUAGAAUUCCCGGUGUAGCGGUGAAAUGCGUAGAGAUCGGGAGGAAUACCAGUGGCGAAGGCGGCCUUCUGGACUGACACUGACGCUGAGGUGCGAAAGCGUGGGUAGCAAACAGGAUUAGAUACCCUAGUAGU